rnacentral:rRNA from 1 species
GACGAACGCUGGCGGCGUGCUUAACACAUGCAAGUCGAACGAAGUGGCGAACGGGUGAGUAACGCGUAAUCAACCUGCCCUUCUGAGGGGGACAACAGUUGGAAACGACUGCUAAUACCGCAUACUGAAGGAGGGGCUUGCGUCGGAUUAGCGCGGUGGAGGGGUAAAGGCCCACCAAGGCGAAGAUCAGUAGCCGGGCUGGUGUGAUGAACGGCCACAUUGGGACUGAGACACGGGCCAGACUUCUACGGGAUGCAGCAGUGGGGAAGCGUCCGGAAUGGGAGAAAGUCUGACGGAGCAACGCCGCGUGAGUGAUGACGGCUUUCGGGUUGUAAAGCUCUGUUAAUCGGGACGCGGUACCGGAAUAGAAAGCCACGGCUAACUACGUGCCAGCAGCCGCGGUAAUAC